CGUCCCUAAAAAGUAGGAUUUCCACUAAGUUCCUUUCGACUCAAUUCCUAUUCAUUUUACCUGAUGCUGAACUGCUGCCUGCGAUCUGCAGCUUCGCUUCAUGCUUUCAAGAGUGGUGAUUGACUGUGGUGCUUGGAGAACUCCAGCCCACCUUCUCAGAUUGGUGCUUAAGGCGUCUUCCAGG